GUACUCUCUUCGGCAGUACAUAUUCUAAAUUUAGAACAACACAGAAUAUCAGCGAGUCCCCUGUUCAAGGGUGACACGCAAAAUCGUGAAGCGUUCCGGGUUUUC